AAUGCCUUCUACGUAUAUGGCAUACUAAUGUUAUGUAGAGAAGAAAUGAAUAUCAGGAAAAGAUAUUUACACAAAUUAGAAUGCCGACAAUGUAAAGCUAGGAGUGUUCAAUUUUGGCAACAUUAUGUUCAACAUGCAAGUCUAAUGCAAAAUAUUAAACACUUUACCACCACUAUACAAAUCUAAAAUUGAUCAUCUACAAUCAGA
rnacentral:lncRNA from 1 species